AUGAUCAUAGAUGAGCUUAGAGAAUGGGAUUGGACUGAGAAUGUCAAGAAAGAUUCAGUGAGAAUCUUUUGUGAUGAACCAGCUAGUGAAGUCGAAAGAGAAGUUCGUCAGGAAGAAGUCAGAGGUGAAGCAAGUACAAGCAGACCUCAAAGAAUAAGACACAUGCCUGCAAGAAUGUGUGAUUACAUCAGAUGAUGUGGUCGAUGAAGAAGGUGAGUUGGUACAUUAUGCUUUCUAUGCAUAUGUCGAAC
rnacentral:lncRNA from 1 species